GAUGAAGAACGUAGUGAAAUGCGAUACGUAAUGUGAAUUGCAGAACUCAGUGAAUCAUCGAAUCUUUGAACGCAUAUUGCGCUCUCUGGUAUUCCGGAGAGCAUGCUUGUUUGAGUAUCAGUAAACACCUCAACUUCCAUAUCUUUUUUGAAAUGGGAGUUGGACUUGAGUGAUCCCAACGCUUUUCCUCACCGAAAAGUGGCGGGUUACUUGAAAUGCAGGUGCAGCUGGACUUUUCUCUGAGCUAUAAGCAUAUCUAUUUAGUCUGCCUAAAAAACAGAUUAUUACCUUUGCUGCAGCUAACAUAAAGGAGAUUAGUUCUUGUGCUGACUGAUGCAGGAUUCACAAAGACAGGCUUCGGCCGACUUUGUAAACUCGAUCUCAAAUCAAGUAAGACUACCCGCUGAACUUAAGCAUAUCAAUAAGCGGAGGA
rnacentral:misc_RNA from 1 species